AUUGAACGCUGGCGGCAGGCCUAACACAUGCAAGUCGAACGAGUGGCGGACGGGUGAGUAAUGUCUGGGAACCUGCCUGAUGGAGGGGUAUAACUACUGGAAACGGUAGCUAAUACCGCAUACCAUCGGAUGUGCCCAGAUGGGAUUAGCUAGUCGGUGGGGUAAAGGCUCACCUAGGCGACGAUCCCUAGCUGGUCUGCGAGGAUGACCGGCCAAACUGGAACUGGGACACGGUCAAGACUCCUACGGGAGGAAGCAGUGGGGAAUAUUGCACAAUGGGCGAAAGCCUGAUGCAGCCAUGCCGCGUGUAAGAAGAAGGCCUUCGGGUUGUAAAGUACUUUCAGCGGGGAGGCGUUACCCGCAGAAGAAGCACCGGCUAACUCCGUGCCAGCAGCCGCGGUAAUUC
rnacentral:rRNA from 1 species